rnacentral:tRNA from 1 species
AGACUUAGGUUAAACACAAACCCGAGGCCUUCAAAGCCCCAAACAAGCCCACAUGCUUAGUCCCUG